AGCUCAGAGCUAGGCAUUCUCACAGCACAAUGGCUGGUUCCCAAGGCCAAGUAUCCUGAGAGAGAGCUAGGUAGAUGUUGUAUUGCCUUCAGCUGUACUUUGUUAGUCAAGGCAGUUGCAAAGUCAUGUGCAGGCUGAACUAAGAAUGUUACUGAAACUUUCCCUUAAUACUUAUUAUAUAUCUUCCAAGUCAAUCCUGAGAAAAUCCAUAAAGCUCAUCUCAGGGCGAAAGCUUGUACAUUUAAGUAACAGGAUUCCAAAUAAACAAUAUUGCUGAGUUAACUAAAAAUACAUUAACUGAAAAUAAAUCUCAUCUAAAAUAUUAAAAAUGGAUAUUUUAAAAAUGCUUUCUGUACAUUUUACUUCUUUGAACGCACCCAGAACACAUUGCAAAGAUAUUCAGCAAAUGCCUACUGAAUUGAAUCUUGAUGAGAAACAGAUAAUUCUGUUCUUCUAUUAGUUUUAUUUUAUGGGGGUAGCUUAAAAAUUAAUCAAUUUAGAUGAUGACAUUCAAGGUCAGGAAUGUUAUUCCUUCUUCCUCACUCUAUAUUCCUGGAAGCCUUUUACAGCUUAUUGUAUUCAGUAUUCCUCCUUGCAUAAAAUACAGACUAGUCACCAGAAUUCCUAUAAAAAUGAAAAACAAAAACAAGUGCUCCUAUUAAAAGUUUUAAGAAGUCGUUUUGUCAAGAGAAAAGCCUUCUUUAAUGUUCUCUUCAAGUCUAAUCAAGGGCUUUGAGAAAAAUGCUGAGCAGUUUCCUUUUUUCUAAAGUUCAAGGAAGACAAAAGAGACAAAUUUACAUUUUGAUUGAACGUUUUAUUUAUUCAGCCUUCACUCAGCAAAUAUUUAUUAGUGUCCACUGCAUACCAGGCACUGUGAUAACUACUUGUUAAUGCUGGGUGAGCUGCUAGAGUGAGCUACUAAAGAAGUGUAUAAUAUGAACCACUACAGAUUGUCGAUGAGAUGUGUGAGCACUCUGUCUCUUGGAGGGGCAAUGGGAAAAUAGGAGAUGGAACUAGGUAAAACUCAAAGUGGCCCUUACCUCUCUCACUCUAAGCAGUGACUAGGGUCAGUCAAGGAUAGCAACCACAAGAGCAAGUGGGUGGUACGACCUGCUGGCAUGGGACACAGAGCCAGGAGGGCCUUGGGAGUGGGGAAGAAGAGGGAAACAGGCACCACUGGAGAGAACUGCGGGGGGCAGGAGUGCCCCAGGUCAGAGCCAGGUUUCAGCAAGACCAGGCAGGUGAUGGGGAUGUUCAGGAAAAAGUGGAGGAUGUGAGGGAUUCUACCGAGGACUGACUGUGUCUUCCAGACUAGAGUGUCUCAAACUUUAAU
rnacentral:lncRNA from 1 species